AUUGAACGCUGGCGGCAGGCCUAACACAUGCAAGUCGAGCGGAUGAAGGGAGCUUGCUCCUGGAUUCAGCGGCGGACGGGUGAGUAAUGCCUAGGAAUCUGCCUGGUAGUGGGGGAUAACGUCCGGAAACGGGCGCUAAUACCGCAUACGUCCUGAGGGAGAAAGUGGGGGAUCUUCGGACCUCACGCUAUCAGAUGAGCCUAGGUCGGAUUAGCUAGUUGGUGGGGUAAAGGCCUACCAAGGCGACGAUCCGUAACUGGUCUGAGAGGAUGAUCAGUCACACUGGAAGUGAGACACGGUCCAGACUCCGACGGUAGGCAGCAGUGGGGAAUCUUGGACGAUGGGCGAAAGCCUGAUCCAGCCAUGCCGCGUGUGUGAAGAAGGUCUUCGGAUUGUAAAGCACUUUAAGUUGGGAGGAAGGGCAGUAAGUUAAUACCUUGCUGUUUUGACGUUACCAACAGAAUAAGCACCGGCUAACUUCGUG
rnacentral:rRNA from 1 species